rnacentral:rRNA from 1 species
AGCGUAGACGGACUGGCAAGUCUGAUGUGAAAGACGGGGGCUCAACCCCUGGACUGCAUUGGAAACUGUUAGUCUUGAGUGCCGGAGAGGUAAGCGGAAUUCCUAGUGUAGCGGUGAAAUGCGUAGAUAUUAGGAGGAACACCAGUGGCGAAGGCGGCUUACUGGACGGUAACUGACGUUGAGGCUCGAAAGCGUGGGGAGCAAACA